rnacentral:lncRNA from 1 species
GUGUGUAAAUAGGCUACUAUUGUAAUUAGGCUAUGUCAUGUAAAUAGGCUAUUAUUGUAAGGGGUCAUUUUGAUAUAGGGGUAGGGGUCAUUUUGUCUGGGGCAGCGGGUCAUUUUUGAUUGAAAGACUUUGAGUCUUCUUCGAGACUCCUCCAUGCUCUCCCUUCUCUCUACUUUCUCUCUCUAAAUUUCUUUCGAUAUUCUGUAUGUUUUCAG